rnacentral:rRNA from 1 species
CCCCGUAGNNGGAUCUUUUUUCCUUUCCAAAAGGGUUUUUUCCCGGGGUUGUAGGCUGCAACUCGCCUACAUGAAGCCGGAAUCGCUAGUAAUCGCGGAUCAACAUGCCGCGGUGAAUACGUUCCCGGGCCUUGUACACACCGCCCGUCACACCACGAGAGUUUGUAACACCCGAAGUCGGUGGGGUAACCCUUUUGGAGCCAGCCGCCGAAGGUGGAUAGAUGAUUGGGGUGAAGUCGUACAAUGUAACACGUACUG